rnacentral:rRNA from 1 species
UACGUAGGCAGCGAGCGUUGUUCGGAGUUACUGGGCGUAAAGGGUGUGUAGGCGGUUGUUUAAGUUUGGUGUGAAAUCUCCCGGGCUCAACUGGGAGGGUGCGCCGAAUAUGAAUGCUUGGAGUGCGGGAGAGGAGAGUGGAAAUUCCUGGUGUAGCGGGUGAAAAUGCGUAGAUAUCAGGAGGGAACACCCGGUGGUGUAGAGGGCUC